rnacentral:ncRNA from 1 species
GACGGGGAGCCGGCGCACAAAGCCGGCUGAGAGUAGGAUGAAAGUGCCUUUACCCAUUGACCUGAUUUGGAUAAUGCCAACGUAGGGAAAUAACGCA